rnacentral:lncRNA from 1 species
AGAAGUGUGACACCAUGACAUCACCCUCACUGCUUAUGACUCCCAGGACCAUGCAAGAAAUUGUGUGUGCAUGACAGUGGGUACAUCAGAGGCAUUCUUGCAUAUCCAUUGGUUUUUCUGGCAAUUCACUUUUUUGUCCUGGAUGAAAUUCUUCUCAUCUGAGAAGAAUCUCAGGAAACUAGUGCUAUCAUGCUUGAUGUCGUUAAGCAGAGCCUGGACCUUCAUUUUCCGAUUGAUCUUAUUCUUUUUGGUCAACCAUUGUCGGUUCCUGAGGACAAAAGAUUUGUACCUCAAAUCCUGCACUGCCAGACUGACUAUUGACCUCACCAUGCCUAUUUCUCUUGCCAGGUCAACCAUAC